rnacentral:rRNA from 1 species
AGUGAACGCUGGCGGUAGGCCUAACACAUGCAAGUCGAACGGCAGCACAGUAGGAGCUUGCUCUUACGGGUGGCGAGUGGCGGACGGGUGAGGAUUACAUCGGAAUCUACUUUUUCGUGGGGGAUAACGUAGGGAAACUUACGCUAAUACCGCAUACGACCUACGGGUGAAAGCAGGGGAUCUUCGGACCUUGCGCGAUUGAAUGAGCCGAUGUCGGAUUAGCUAGUUGGCGGGGUAAAGGCCCACCAAGGCGACGAUCCGUAGCUGGUCUGAGAGGAUGAUCAGCCACACUGGAACUGAGACACGGUCCAGACUCCUACGGGAGGCAGCAGUGGGGAAUAUUGGACAAUGGGCGCAAGCCUGAUCCAGCCAUACCGCGUGGGUGAAGAAGGCCUUCGGGUUGUAAAGCCCUUUUGUUGGGAAAGAAAAGCAGCAGGUUAAUACCCCGCUGUUCUGACGGUACCCAAAGAAUAAGCACCGGCUAACUUCGUG